rnacentral:rRNA from 1 species
UGAACGACUCUCGGCAACGGAUAUCUCGGCUCUUGCAUCGAUGAAGAACGUAGCGAAAUGCGAUACUUGGUGUGAAUUGCAGAAUCCCGUGAACCAUCGAGUCUUUGAACGCAAGUUGCGCCUGAAGCCAUUAGGYUGAAGGCACGUCUGCCUGGGCGUCACGC